rnacentral:rRNA from 1 species
AGCAGCCGCGGUAAUUCCAGCUCCAAUAGCGUAUAUUAAAGUUGUUGCAGUUAAAAAGCUCGUAGUUGAAUUUCGGGGUUAGUAGGUUGGUCAUGCCUCUGGUAUGUACUGGUCUCACUGAUUCCUCCUUCCUGAUGAACCUUAAUGCCAUUAAUUUGGUGUUUUGGGGAAUUUGGACUGUUACUUUGAAAAAAUUAGAGUGUUUAAAGCAAGCUAACGCUUGAAUACAUUAGCAUGGAAUAAUGAAAUAGGACGUUCGAUCCUAUUUUGUUGGUUUCUAGGAUUGACAUAAUGAUUAAUAGGGAUAGUUGGGGGCAUUAGUAUUCAAUUGUCAGAGGUGAAAUUCUUGGAUUUAUUGAAGACUAACUACUGCGAAAGCAUUUGCCAAGGAUGUUUUCAUUAAUCAAGAACGAAAGUUAGGGGAUCGAAGACGAUCAGAUACCGUCGUAGUCUUAACCAUAAACUAUGCCGACUAGGGAUCGGAUGAUGUUAAUUUUUAAUGACUCAUUCGGCGCCUUAC